GAUAUAGCUCAGUUGAUAGAGUGUUUGCCUUGCAUGCACAAGGCCCUGGGUUCAAUUCUCAAAAAUCA
rnacentral:tRNA from 1 species